rnacentral:rRNA from 1 species
GUGAGGAAUAUUGGUCAAUGGGCGCAAGCCUGAACCAGCCAUGCCGCGUGCAGGAUGACGGUCCUAUGGAUUGUAAACUGCUUUUGUACAGGAAGAAACACUCCCUCGUGAGGGAACUUGACGGUACUGUAAGAAUAAGGAUCGGCUAACUCCGUGCCAGCAGCCGCGGUAAUACGGAGGAUCCAAGCGUUAUCCGGAAUCAUUGGGUUUAAAGGGUCCGUAGGCGGUUUUAUAAGUCAGUGGUGAAAUCUGGUCGCUCAACGAUCAAACGGCCAUUGAUACUGUAGAACUUGAAUUACUUGGAAGUAACUAGAAUAUGUAGUGUAGCGGUGAAAUGCUUAGAGAUUACAUGGAAUACCAAUUGCGAAGGCAGGUUACUACAAGUGGAUUGACGCUGAUGGACGAAAGCGUGGGGAGCGAACAGGAUUAGAAACCCUGGUAGUCC